rnacentral:rRNA from 1 species
CAUUUUGAACGCAUUGCGCAGUCCAAGCUGUGUGUACAUUGAUUAGUUUUACAGUGCUGCUUGGACUACAUAUGGUUGAGGGUUGUAAGACUAUGCUACCUCAGUUGUUUAAAAUUUUUCGGAAUUUUAAGCACAUGGUAUAUUAUUGGAUAAUAUAUGUGUAUGGUUGCAAAACUAUUACAUGUAAUAUAUUCAUAAUAUUAAAAUAUAAUGAAAUUACUAUGCCUCUCAUAAGUAUAUAUUUGUAUGAGAAAAUUGAAGAAUUAUAUUUUCUUUAUUCAAUUCAAAUAAUACUGAGGAACGUCUAGCAUAAAAAAAAUUUUUUUAACUAGAAUUGCCUCUUAUUACUGAUGAAAUAAAGAAUAAAAACUUAGUUAUAUUAUGGAACUUCAAAAUAAUAGUAAAUUUCAAAUUAUUAAUAAUAAUAAACAUCAUGUUUAAUUAUUAAUAAAAAGAAAAACAUAAUUAUACAACCUCAACUCAUAUGGGACUACCCCCUGAAUUUAAGCAUAUUAAUUAGGGGAGGAAAAGAAACUAACAAGGAUUUUCUUAGUAGCGGCGAGCGAAAAGAAAUCAGUUCAGCACUAAGUCACUUUGUCUAUAUGGCAAAUGUGAGAUGCAGUGUAUGGAACAUCAAUAUUCUAGUAUGAGAAAUUAACGAUUUAAGUCCUUCUUAAAUGAGGCCAUUUACCCAUAGAGGGUGCCAGGCCCGUAUAACGUUAAUGAUUACUAGAUGGUGUUUCCAAAGAGUCUGUUGCUUGAUAGUGCAGCACUAAGUGGGUGGUAAACUCCAUCUAAAACUAAAUAUAACCAUGAGACCGAUAGUAAACAAGUACCGUGAGGGAAAGUUGAAAAGAACUCUGAAUAGAGAGUUAAAUAGUACGUGAAACUGCUUAGAGGUUAAGCCCGAUGAACCUGAAUAUCCGUUAUGGAAAAUUCAUCAUUAGAGUUGUAAUAUUUAAACAAUAUUAUAAUAAUAGUGUGCAUUUUUUCCAUAUAAGGACAUUGUAAUCUAUUAGUAUCAAAAAUUUAUCAAAAAAUUUAAGACCAAAAGCUUAUUUAAAUUAAAAUGCUUGCAUUUUAACAUAAAAUAAAUAUCAUAAAUUUGAUAAAGUGCUGAUAGAUUUAUAUGAAUACAGUGCGUUAAUUUUUCGGAAUUAUAUAAUGGCAUGAUUAUCAUUGAUUUUUAUGUUUAUUAUAUGCACUUGUAUGAUUAACAAUGCGAAAGAUUCAGGAUACCUUCGGGACCCGUCUUGAAACACGGACCAAGGAGUCUAACAUAUGUGCAAGUUAUUGGGAUAAAAACCUAAUAGCGUAAUUAACUUGACUAAUAAUGGGAUUAGUUUUUUAACUAUUUAUAGUUAAUUAACACAAUCCCGGGGCGUUCUAUAUAGUUAUGUAUAAUGAUAUUUAUAUUAUUUAUGCCUCUAACUGGAACGUACCUUGAGCAUAUAUGCUGUGACCCGAAAGAUGGUGAACUAUACUUGAUCAGGUUGAAGUCAGGGGAAACCCUGAUGGAAGACCGAAACAGUUCUGACGUGCAAAUCGAUUGUCAGAAUUGAGUAUAGGGGCGAAAGACCAAUCGAACCAUCUAGUA